AUUGUAGCAAAGUUUUUUUUGGUGGUGGCAUUAAUCGAUUUAAACAGCAUACAGUAGGAGUAAAAGGUGAAGUUGAGUCUUGUUUAAAGGUGCCUUCUGAUGUUCACUAUCAAAUGAAGCAAAAUUUAGAUGAUUUUGCUGCCAAAAAAAGAAGAAGUCAAGAAAUUUUUUAUGAAUAAAAUCCAUUUGGUCCACGCUACAGAGAAUACGAGGAGGAUAUUUAUAGAGAAAGAAACACUGGUGAUGAUGAUAUUCAAGAAAUUCCCUCAUAUACUAAGUACACUUCUAGUUCUUAAGGUUGAGGGAGAGGUAUUCAUCACAGCGUAGGGAGAUCUACUGGAAGUAAAAGAGUGAAAGAGUCUGUUGGAAUUGGUUCCUACUUCAUGCCUAGAAUAACUCCUGGU
rnacentral:misc_RNA from 1 species